AAUAAGUGCAGUUUUACACUAUUUAUAUUUAACGUUUGACCGUUCGUCUUAUUUGAAACUUUUUUACGAUUAAUAUUUUUAUUGUUACUAGAUGAUUAAACAUGAAUAGUACUUUAUGUGUGACUAACUUUUUUUAAUUUUCUCAUAAAUUUUUCAAAUAAGAUGGACGGUCAAACUUUGGACACGGAUUCCCACGACUGUACUUAUU
rfam:Oryza sativa (indica cultivar-group) chromosome 6, whole genome shotgun sequence.